rnacentral:rRNA from 220 species
UUUGGUGGUCAUAGCGCGAGCAAAACACCCGGCUCCAUUCCGAACCCGGCCGUUAAGUGCCGUUGCGCCGAUGGUACUGCAUCUUAAGGUGUGGGAGAGUAGGUCACCGCCAAAC